rnacentral:tRNA from 1 species
GGGCCUGUAGCUCAGCGGUAGAGCAGGGGACUCAUAAUCCCUUGGUCGGGGGUUCGAAUCCCUCCGGGCCCACCA